CGAAAGCCUGAUCCAGCCAUGCCGCGUGAGUGAUGAAGGCCUUAGGGUUGUAAAGCUCUUUCGCCAGGGAAGAUAAUGACGGUACCUGGAUAAGAAGCCCCGGCUAACUUCGUGCCAGCAGCCGCGGUAAUACGAAGGGGGCUAGCGUUGUUCGGAAUUACUGGGCGUAAAGCGCACGUAGGCGGCAUUCCAAGUUGGAGGUGAAAUCCCCGGGCUUAACCUGGGAACUGCCUCCAAAACUGGGAAGCUCGAGUCCGAGAGAGGUGAGUGGAAUUUCCAGUGUAGAGGUGAAAUUCGUAGAUAUUGGAAAGAACACCAGUGGCGAAGGCGGCUCACUGGCUCGGUACUGACGCUGAGGAGCGACAGCGUGGGGAGCAAACAGGAUUAGA
rnacentral:rRNA from 1 species